rnacentral:rRNA from 1 species
GACGAACCGUGCGAACGUUGUUCGGAAUCACUGGGCUUAAAGGGCGCGUAGGCGGGCUGGUAAGUCAGGGGUGAAAGCCCACGGCCCAACCGUGGAAGUGCCUUUGAUACUGCCAGUCUCGAGGGAGGUAGGGGCGUGCGGAACUUCCGGUGGAGCGGUGAAAUGCGUAGAUAUCGGAAGGAACACCGGUGGCGACAGCGGCGCGCUGGACCUCUUCUGACGCUGAGGCGCGAAAGCCAGGGGAGCAAACGGG